rnacentral:lncRNA from 1 species
UGCCUUAACUCCCUGUUUUGCUUUUUUGUUCUUUCUUUUCUUGUUUUUAUAGAUCUCAAUCCACUAGUUAAGGACAGUACUCUGCCAUGUCCUAAAGUGAGACCAAUGAACUUUACCCAUUAUCCCAUCAAAAGCGAUGGACGUCCAUGUUCAAGGUGAGACAUUUUAAUAAAUGAAGUGUAGUUUUAUCAUUGGAGCCGGUUUAGCUCGUGCUGGUUUGCGGCGCCUUCCGUCCGUGAAACCAGGGUUUGACUCCGGGCUGCUCCCUGUUCCCUUCUCUACCUCUGUGCCAGUCCCAGGCCCGGUUGCUUUGAGAAGGUUGCAUCAGGAAGGGCAUCCGGCGUAAAACAUUGCCAAGUUUACCAUGCGACUUGUUCGCUGUGGUGACCCCUGAUGGGAAAAGCCGAAAGAGGAAGAAGAAGUGUAGUUUUAUCAUUAUGCCAACUUUGGAUGUUAAGAACUCAUUUCAGUAUCAUUUAAAAAAAUAAUAUUAUUUAAAAGUAGUUUUUCAUAUUCAAAAAUUCUGAAAAUUCUGCAUGACAACACUAACAACUUUAUUCCCCAUGACCAGACCUCCAAUCACCAAUGGAUCAUUUGAAAACAGCACAACUGAAUUUCCCUCAACUUCACAAACUCGUCCUGAUGAAGAUGUUGACAGCAUCUUUUGCCACUCUCCUGCCAUGAUGCCCUCUGUCACCCUCAUCUUCCUACCAGUGCUGAUAAUUCUGUUACCUUAGUGUGGGAUGUUUUCAUUUUUUCAUGUGAUUUUUAAAUAAGGCGAUUCAAUUAAUUAAAUCUGGAAUUUUUGGGUUUAUGGUAUAAUUGUAACGUUAAAACAUUAUUCUGGCAGGAAAAACAAAAAUGGAUAUAUAAAAGAAAAAUAAUACUCAUCAUAAGGUGGAAGUAUUUUAUUUUUUUAAUAAUCAUUAGCUGAUUAAAUUGUAUCAACUGUGAAAUGGAAAAAGUAAAACUAGAAUAUGAGUAAUUCACAUAAGAAUGUGUAUGUUUAACGGUUUUGUUAGCCACAAAAUAUGUAUAUACCAGUACAUAUAUACAUGUGGAUACAUAUUUUGUACAUGACAGAUAGGAGAAAUAAUUUUCCAAAGCUUUUUGGGAUCUGAGAAGAUUUCUUUUAUCCAACACUGUUCACAUAACCCCAGCUUAUUGUUACUUCCUUCUUUAUGGUAGUUACCUUAGAAAGGGGUCACUACAAUUAAAACAGUAUGGAUGACUAAUUACCAGUCCUGUGCCUUUUUCAGUGAACUGUAGCCUAGGACGAACAUCAAUUUAUGAUG